GCUGCUCCAGGACUCCUGCAAAAGCCCAGCCUUCCCUGGGAUGGCUUUCAUUCACAUGGGUGGGAGGAGCCGGGGGAGAAAUCCUGGGACUCAGGGGUGCCCGGGUUGCCGCUCUCUGGCCACUUCUGCCCAGCUAGGCUUGGAGAGAAAGGCCGAAGGCAGUUCUAGAAAACCCAACACGCUUUGAGACCUCUAAAGCAUACACGUGACUCCAUCCACCAGCUCCAGGCUGAAGACGCAGACACACAGGGUGAGAGGGCAGGUAUGGCCAGGGCUCAGACAGCCCAGGAGGAGGUGCCAGGACGGGAGCUCCAGUGAGCCAGGGCCAGGUGGAAGCUGCUUCUAUUCUCAGUUUUUAUCAAUCUACCUUAAAAGAAUUACUUAAAAUGAGGCCGGACAUGGGCUGGGAGCGGUGACUCACGCCUGUAAUGCCAGGACUUUGGGAGGCUGAGGCAGGCGGAUCACUUGAGGUCAGGAGUUUGAGACCAGCCUGGCCAAUAUGGUAAAACCCCAUCUCCACUAAAAAUAAAAAAAAUUAGCUGGGCGUGGUGGUGGAUGCCUGUAAUCUCAGCUACUCGGGAGGCUGAGGCAGGAAGAUCACUUGAACCUGGGAGGCAGAGGUUGCUGUGAGUCGAGAUCGUGCCACUUCUCUCUCGCCUGGGCGAGAGAGCAAGACUCCUCAAUUAAAAAAAAAAAAAAAAAAAGCCGCACGUGGUGGCGCACACCUAUAAUCCUACCACUUUGGGAGGCCAAAGCAAAAAGAAUGCUUGAGCUGAGGAGUUUGAGACCAUCCCGAGCCACACAGUGAGACCCCAUACCAAAAUCAGCCGGGCGUGGUGGUGCACGCCUGUAGUCCCAGCUACUCAGAAGGCUGAGGUGGGAGGAUCCCUUGAACCUGGGAGGUCAAGGUUGCAGUGAGCCGAGAUCACACCACUGCACUCCAGCCUGGGUGACAGAGCAAGACCCUGUCUCAAAAAAACAAAAACCAGAAAGAGACCAACGACUCGAAAGAGGCAGGGUGGCGAAAACCAAACAGACGCACCAAACGCAACCCUAAAACCCCUGCUCCCCAGCACAGCUCCUUCCGUCUUCGUUUCUCCUGGGGCCGCAAUCAAUGUUUGUUUAGUGAGAAAAUUCAAAGAGCCUCUCCCCGGAGAUGAGGGCGGGCGGAGCGCUGUGCUGCAGCCUCAGGAGCUGGUGGAAGACGCCUCACAGGAGCAUCGCUCUCUCUGCAGCCGCCUUUCUCCACUGUGACAUCGGGGCCAGGUCACUCUCUGGGGUGGGGCCGACCUGGGCACUGCAGGGCGCUGAGUAGCGUCCCUGGCCUCCAUCCACUCCACGCCAGGAGCAUCCCCCAGUUGUGACAACCACACACAUCCCCAGACAGUGCCAGGUGUCUCCUGGGAGGGAGAACUGCCCCUGGUUGAGAAGGGCUGAUCUCCAGCUAUAAAGACCAAAGUCUGGCAGGGUAAGCAAUUUGUCUGAGUCACAGAGACAGGAUGUGGUGCAGGGGGUAUUGCAGCUGUGUACUGCUGACCCCAAAUCUCACUCUGUGCAUGACCAUACACGUCUACCGUGUGUGUGUGUGUGUGUGUGUGUGUGUGUGUGUGUGUGUGUGUGUGUGAUGUUUAAAAUGGUCUUGUAACUGUAAUUUUGUUACGUAGGUAGUAGGUGAACACAUUUUUCUUUCUUUUUUUUUUUUUCCUGAGGCGGAGUCUCGCUCUGUUGCCCAGGCGGGGGUGCAGUGGCACCAUCUCGGCUCACUGCAAGCUCCGCCUCCCGGGUUCACGCCAUUCUCCUGCCUCAGCCUCCUGAGUAGCUGGGACUACAGGCGUGCGCCACCAUGCCCAGCUAAUUUUGUAUUUUUAGUAUAGAUGGGGUUUCACCAUGUUGGCCAGGAUGGUCUUGAACUCUUGACCUCGUGAUCCGCCUGCCUUGGCCUCCCAAAGUGCUAGGAUUACAAACGUGAGCCACUGCACCCAGCCCAUGCUAUGUUUAUUUUCUACAACCACCCCUCCACUACAUGAAUAGUGUUGUACUGUGGGGAUACUCCCAUUCAGUACACCAUUGUGGAUUUCACUUUGCCACUGCAAAGCAGCCAAAUAUCAUUCUUUAAUCACUCCCUUACUGAUGGACAUGUCCAGUUUCCAUUACAGUAGAACAAGACGGGCAUUCUUCAGCAGAUAGGACGAGACCCCCAGAAAGGCCAAGGGGCACCUCUACGAGGUCCGUAAGCCACUGGCUCUCCUUUCCCCAUCCCAUGAGGCCCCACUGUCCACUGGGUUCUUGCCCCGAGUUAUCCAGUAAUAGGUUCAGACCCCAGGGAAGCAGCCAGCCCCACUGUUCCUAAGUUCCAGUCACCAACAAGUGCUUGCCAUUUUAUAUAAAUACAUCACUGGGCACGGUGGCUCACCCCUGUAAUCCCAGCACUUUGGGAGGCUGAGGCGGGAGAAUCGUUUGAGCCCAGGAGUUCAAGAUUAGCCUGGGAAACAUAGUGCCAUCCCAUAUCUACAAAAAAACUUGCCGGGCGCGGUGGCUCACGCCUGUAAUCCCAGCACUUUUGGGAGGCAGAGGCAGGCGGAUCACGAGGUCAGGAGAUCGAGACCAUCCUGGCUAACACAGCGAAACCCCGUCUCUACUAAAAAUACAAAAAAUUAGCCGGCUGUGGUGGCGGGCGCCUGUAGUCCCAGCUACUCGGGAGGCUGAGGCGGGAGAAUGGCGUGAACCUGGGAGGUGGAGCUUGCAGUGAGCCAAGAUUGUGCCACUGCACUCCAGCCUGGGCGACAGAGCUAGACUCCGUCUCAAAAAAAAAAAAAAAAAAAAAAACAAACUUAAAAAGCUACUCAAGCGUGCUGGUGCACCUGUAGUCCCGGCUACCUGGAAGGUUGAGGCAGGAGGAUCGUUUGAGCCCAAGAGGUGGAGGCUGCAGUGAGCUAGGAUCAUGCCACUGCACUCCAACCUGGGUGACAGAGAGAGACCUUGUACCCCCUACCCCCCACAAAAAAAGAAGGAAAAAAAUGCAAAAUAAAGAUGACAUAGAAAUAUGAGGAAACAGCGUAGAAAUACAGGGAAAUGGCUGCAGCAGCCAGGACAUGGAUGCAACACCUGUGCGUGCCGGGUGCCAUCCUGGGAGGAGCUCACACAGUCCUCACCCCAGCAGGGACUACGACCUCCCUCAGCUUCACAGCAGAAGCGGCAAGAGUCCUGUCCCGAACCCGUGGUAAGGGUGAGCGGUGGGGCCGAGACCUGACCCGGACGCCCAUCCUCAGCCCCGGUGCUAAGCUGCCCCUUUGCCUCACUGGGGUGGCCUGGGAGGGAAUGAAUCAGGUGCUGGGCAGGCCCUUCCAUGGAAACCUAUGGGCACUCAGGUGAAUUCCGAGAGCAUCGUUCAGCAUGGAGAGAAUUCACAGGGCCGGCGAGGAUGGCAGGGAUGGCCCCCUUGGAUGACUUUACUUCCACGGAUGCUGCCCUGUCAGGGCUCACCCAAUGCUUUAAAAAUCAACGUGCUCCACGUUGUUUUUGUUUGUUUGUUUGUUUUGAGAUGGAGUCUCGCUC
rnacentral:lncRNA from 1 species